GUGUGGCCGUGUUCCAAUAAAACUUUAUUUACAAAAACAGGCAGUGGGCUGGGUUUGACCCACAGGCCAUAUUUUGCCAACCCUAGGUGUAGAUGAUCUUCAGCAUCUUUUUAAAUAACAAUAAUUCCUUUAGGUGAGAAGUGGAUUUUUUGAUACUACACAUACAAUUCAUUUAAAUGUAAGACCCCCAAUAUAAUAACUCCAACCAUUUUUUUGUUGCUUUGGAUAACAUGUUUUCUUCUCUCCUUCAGUGAUAAAUCAAACCUCAACAGAAUUUAUUUAGAGGCUAGAAUAACAGGUCAGGUGAUGCUCUCACUGAGGAAUUUGACAAUAUACAUGACUAAUCCUAGACCUCAAAGUGUUCACAAUGUAAUGAAAGAGACAUACACAUAAAGGCAUAAUUAUAAAGCAUUACAGUAAUUGCUAUAAUCAUGCUAUUAUCCAUUAUCAAGACUUAAGUUCUACUACAUCCAAAUUUGAGAUGCUAGAGCAGACCAAGUUCAAGGACAUUGCAAUAUAAUACAUGUAGGAUAUGCAGAAAAUUGGUGGGCCAUCUGAAAUGCAUUCUUGUGAAAAUUGAGGGUGUGAGUUUUCAGGGAAGUCUUGACUCAGAAUAGGACUGGUCCACAGAGCAAGGCUGUGUCAGAUUACACUUGAGACCUAAAGAGUGGCCAUCUGUGAUAAAAGUCAGACCUUUGUUCAACUACAAAGAAGUAAGGCGUAGUUAUGAUACAGAACAUGUGAAGAGAACUUUUUGUUCUGGAAGGUGCACAUGACAUUCCAUUUGAAUGAGAAACAUCAGAGAGAGGCGUGCUUUCACUCUCACAAGGCACGAUCCCCAGCUGCACAAAGCUUUGUAUUUCUUGUUAUAUUUCCUUUUUCAGGGAGAUGAGGGGCUGGUGGUAGAGAUGCAUGGACCACAGCAAGUUAUUGUGCCAUGAUUUUGUCUUUGACGUACUUAUUUCUGAAAUUCAUUAUGACUUGAAAUAUCCUUUUCAUAAAGACUGCAAUAAAGUCCUUUGACAAUAUGGCUAGAUGGAUCAAAGGGCUUAUCUCUGUUGAAUCUUGAGUAGCCACCCAGAUAUCACUGGAGAAGCAACAAUGCAGGUAAUUCAAAACACCCUCAACUCACAUUUAGUUGACUUUGGGAUGUAGCACAGUUUUGCAGGAAUAUAUUUAUAUUUCUUAUAUUUCAUAACCUAAUAGAAGCUUAAAUAGUUACCUCAGCCUUCAUUGCACAGAUAAUGAAAGAGAAGCUUAAAGAAGAGAAAUUAAGUACUUGCCCAAGGUCACAUAGUUAGUUAAUGGAAGAACCAAAACUAGAACCUAGAUCUUCUGAUGCCACAUUUCAAGCUCCAUGAACCACUGGUAAGAACUACCUUUUAUGCUGGUACACAGUGUGUGUACAAGAUUACACCUAUAAUGAUAAAACUGGUGGUUUUUAUUCUGUCCUUUUCUAUUUGAUUAUUUCCUUUUUAAUAGUGCUGGUCAUGGUCCACAAACUGACUACGAGGUCUCAGCUAGCAUCUGUAAACACUGCUGUGGAUCACAGAAUUGCUUAUAUGCCAUCCUAACCAUAUACCAAAUGAUGCUUUCAUACAACAGUGAAAAAAUAUUUCCCUUGGAAAGAUUACAUUUCUACUGUCACUUUUUGUAAGUGAGUAUAAAGAAUUUGUGACUAUUUGGUUUUCUUAGGGAAAAAAGAUUAAAUAUGCAUAAAGGGAGCCACAAAUCUGUCAAGUAUUUUCAGACUGCAUUCAAAAACUCACCGUUUCCAUGAACUCUUUCCACACUAGACUCAUUGAGCUCUCUGAUCUUCUCAACACUGAUGUACCUUUUUGCAAAACAUUUAGUCACUGAUCCUAAACUUCAACUUUAUCCCCCUUUUUCUAGAAAAAUUAAGAAAAAUUGCACUCACACACAAAAAAUUCCAUUGGCAUCAGGGGACUCUUACCUGCUUAUUCCCAAAUCUGGGAGGUGUGGUGGAAGGCUCACAUGUAUGAUACAGAAAGACAGGCAUCCAUACAUGUCAAAUACUAUAUAUCUGAGACUUUUUCAUAAGUGUCAACAGAGGCUUGCAAACAACCACUAAAAUAGUGUU
rnacentral:lncRNA from 10 species